rnacentral:lncRNA from 10 species
AAAAAAAUAGAAAGUGACUGCUUUGUAAGCUAGCUGAAAGAAGUGCCAUUUUUUUCCUGCUUUGCCUGCUGACCCUAGUGUCAGCACUACCUGUAUUCAGCUCCCAUGGCUUUAAUCUGACCUCUGCUUACUUUCUUCUCUCUACUCUUUGAAAGCAGAGAUGCCAUCAGGUGAAGUGUCUGAGACAAAUAGAAUGGGGCUUGAACAAAAGUUAGGG